GAUGAACGCUGGCGGCGUGCCUAAUACAUGCAAGUCGAGCGAACAGACGAGGAGCUUGCUCCUCUGACGUUAGCGGCGGACGGGUGAGUAACACGUGGAUAACCUACCUAUAAGACUGGGAUAACUUCGGGAAACCGGAGCUAAUACCGGAUAAUAUAUUGAACCGCAUGGUUCAAUAGUGAAAGACGGUUUUGCUGUCACUUAUAGAUGGAUCCGCGCCGCAUUAGAUAGUUGGUAAGGUAACGGCUUACCAAGGCAACGAUGCGUAGCCGACCUGAGAGAGGGAUCGGCCACAUGGGAACUGAGACAGGGUCCAGACUCCUAAGGGAGGCAGCAGUAGGGAAUCUUCCGCAAUGGUCGAAAGCCUGACGUAGCAACGCCGCGUGAGUGAUGAAGGUCUUCGGAUCGUAAAACUCUGUUAUCAGGGAAGAACAAAUGUGUAAGUAACUAUGCACGUCUUGACGGUACCUAAUCAGAAAGCCACGGCUAACUACGUG
rnacentral:rRNA from 1 species